GCAUCGAUGAAGAACGCAGCGAAAUGCGAUAAGUAAUGUGAAUUGCAGAAUUCAGUGAAUCAUCGAAUCUUUGAACGCACAUUGCGCCCCCUGGUAUUCCGGGGGACAUGCCUGUUCGAGCGUCAUUUCACCACUCAAGCCUCGCUUGGUAUUGGGCAACGCGGUCCGCCGCGUGCCUCAAAUCGACCGGCUGGGUCUUCUGUCCCCUAAGCGUUGUGGAAACUAUUCGCUAAAGGGUGUUCGGGAGGCUACGCCGUAAAACAACCCCAUUUCUAAGGUUGACCUCGGAUCAGGUAGGGAUACCCGCUGAACUUAAGCAUAUCAAUAAGCGGAGGA
rnacentral:rRNA from 1 species